AUGAACGCUGGCGGCGUGCCUAAUACAUGCAAGUCGAGCGAACAGACGAGGAGCUUGCUCCUCUGACGUUAGCGGCGGACGGGUGAGUAACACGUGGAUAACCUACCUAUAAGACUGGGAUAACUUCGGGAAACCGGAGCUAAUACCGGAUAAUAUAUUGAACCGCAUGGUUCAAUAGUGAAAGACGGUUUUGCUGUCACUUAUAGAUGGAUCCGCGCCGCAUUAGCUAGUUGUUAAGGUAACGGCUUACCAAGGCGACGAUGCGUAGCCGACCUGAGAGGGGGAUCGGCCACACUGGAACUGGGACACGGUCCAGACUCCUACGGGAGGCAGCAGUAGGGAAUCUUCCGCAAUGGGCGAAGGCCUGACGGGGCAACGCCGCGUGGGUGAUGAAGGUCUUCGGAUCGUAAAACUCUGUUAUUAGGGAAGAACAAAUGUGUAAGUAACUAUGCACGUCUUGACGGUACCUAAUCAGAAAGCCACGGCUAACUACG
rnacentral:rRNA from 1 species